rnacentral:piRNA from 1 species
UUGUCCCAGAAUCGCUAUCACGUACC